rnacentral:rRNA from 1 species
UUGGGAAUCUUGCACAAUGGGGGAAACCCUGAUGCAGCGACGCCGCGUGGAGGAUGAAGGGUCUAGGCUCGUAAACUCCUUUUUUCGGGAAAGACUUAGGACGGUACCCGAAGAAUAAGCACCGGCUAACUACGUGCCAGCAGCCGCGGUAAGACGUAGGGUGCAAGCGUUGUCCGGAUUUACUGGGCGUAAAGAGCGCGUAGGCGGCUCGUUAAGUGAGAAGUGAAAGCUGUGGGCUCAACCCACAAACCGCUUUUCAUACUGGCGAGCUGGAGUGAUGCAGAGGUGGAUAGAAUUCCUGGUGUAGCGGUGAAAUGCGUUGAUAUCAGGAGGAAUACCCGUGGCGAAGGCGGUCCACUGGGCAUCAACUGACGCUGAGGCGCGAAAGCGUGGGUAGCAAACAGG